GGGACAACAGUUGGAAACGACUGCUAAUACCGCAUAAUGUCUACGGACCAAAGGGGGCUUCGGCUCUCGCCUUUAGAUUGGCCCAAGUGGGAUUAGCUAGUUGGUGAGGUAAUGGCUCACCAAGGCAACGAUCCCUAGCUGGUUUGAGAGGAUGAUCAGCCACACUGGAACUGAGACACGGUCCAGACUCCUACGGGAGGCAGCAGUGGGGAAUAUUGCACAAUGGGCGAAAGCCUGAUGCAGCCAUGCCGCGUGUGUGAAGAAGGCCUUCGGGUUGUAAAGCACUUUCAGUCAGGAGGAAAGGGUGUGAGUUAAUACCUCACAUCUGUGACGUUACUGACAGAAGAAGCACCGGCUAACUCCGUGCCAGCAGCCGCGGUAAUACGGAGGGUGCGAGCGUUAAUCGGAAUUACUGGGCGUAAAGCGUACGCAGGCGGUUUGUUAAGCGAGAUGUGAAAGCCCCGGGCUCAACCUGGGAACUGCAUUUCGAACUGGCAAACUAGAGUGUGAUAGAGGGUGGUAGAAUUUCAGGUGUAGCGGUGAAAUGCGUAGAGAUCUGAAGGAAUACCGAUGGCGAAGGCAGCCACCUGGGUCAACACUGACGCUCAUGUACGAAAGCGUGGGGAGCAAACGGGAUUAGAUACCCCGGUAGUCCACGCCGUAAACGAUGUCUACUAGAAGCUCGGAACCUCGGUUCUGUUUUUCAAAGCUAACGCAUUAAGUAGACC
rnacentral:rRNA from 1 species